rnacentral:tRNA from 1 species
UGAUUAGCUCAGUUGGUCAGAGCGUGGUGCUGAUAAAACCAAGGUGGCAGGUUCGAUCCCUGUUCA